UCGAGCGAAUGGAUUAAGAGCUUGCUCUUAUGAAGUUAGCGGCGGACGGGUGAGUAACACGUGGGUAACCUGCCCAUAAGACUGGGAUAACUCCGGGAAACCGGGGCUAAUACCGGAUAACAUUUUGAACCGCAUGGUUCGAAAUUGAAAGGCGGCUUCGGCUGUCACUUAUGGAUGGACCCGCGUCGCAUUAGCUAGUUGGUGAGGUAACGGCUCACCAAGGCAACGAUGCGUAGCCGACCUGAGAGGGUGAUCGGCCACACUGGGACUGAGACACGGCCCAGACUCCUACGGGAGGCAGCAGUAGGGAAUCUUCCGCAAUGGACGAAAGUCUGACGGAGCAACGCCGCGUGAGUGAUGAAGGCUUUCGGGUCGUAAAACUCUGUUGUUAGGGAAGAACAAGUGCUAGUUGAAUAAGCUGGCACCUUGACGGUACCUAACCAGAAAGCCACGGCUAACUACGUGCCAGCAGCCGCGGUAAUACGUAGGUGGCAAGCGUUAUCCGGAAUUAUUGGGCGUAAAGCGCGCGCAGGUGGUUUCUUAAGUCUGAUGUGAAAGCCCACGGCUCAACCGUGGAGGGUCAUUGGAAACUGGGAGACUUGAGUGCAGAAGAGGAAAGUGGAAUUCCAUGUGUAGCGGUGAAAUGCGUAGAGAUAUGGAGGAACACCAGUGGCGAAGGCGACUUUCUGGUCUGUAACUGACACUGAGGCGCGAAAGCGUGGG
rnacentral:rRNA from 1 species